rnacentral:lncRNA from 1 species
CACUCACCAACAUUUCUCCACCCGGCUGCGGCUUCUGCUCCGCUGCUGCUCACCACCAUCUCACCCCUCCUUCACCACCACCACCAUCUUCUCCAGAUCCGUCGCCCACAACGUCUUUGAACUUUUAGUUUGCACCAAUAAAAUUUACGCGUGCCUCAAAUCUUCCCACAAUCUCCUAUUUUGACGGCGGUGGCGGCGAUAAGGCGAGCAAGAGAAGAAAAAAGAAAAAAAAAUGCAAUUUUUGGACCUAGCAGGUUCGGCCGUCAAACUCGUCGCCGUCGAGAAAAAUCGUUUGGAGAUGUUGUAGAUAAGGCAUUACUGCCAUUGGGGCUGGGUUUGCCUCGGAUUUUGCGGAUUCGGGUCUGGUAUGUUGAUUGUAGAAGAUGAGAUGGUGGUGUUGAACUCUUAUUGGGGUAGGGGUUGGGGUUGGGGUUUGGG